rnacentral:misc_RNA from 1 species
UUUAGGGAGACCCGAAUCAGUUCAAAGCUCAAAAUUCUUUUCAUGGAAUUUUGAAUUGAUAAUAUUGAAUUGAUGUAUCCCUCGGUCGGUCGAGGAAAAGUUGUUGGCUUUCAAACUAUGAUUGGUUCGAUCUAAGUCGCACUCAGACAACCGAACAACAAAGUACGGUUGUGAGUAGGCAAGCAGUCAAAUUGAUUGUUAGACUCAAAAACAGUGAGUGCAAAUCUAAUGUAUUGUGAACAAGCAAUACCAGAUUCCAAAAAUUGCUCCAGCAAUCUUGCUUCAACCAGUAAGACUGCUGGAUGAUAUCCAGCCAGAACCUUGAAAACUGCAUAGUAACGCGAAGCUGGUAGACACAGACAUACUAUGAUUGCAUGGAUGAAAGUGUUUGCUUAUAUAGAUUUCACCAAUUGUUGAGU